rnacentral:lncRNA from 1 species
CGCCCUGCUAUGUCUGUGUUAAUUUAUACAUUAUAAGGUAAAUGUCAACUGCAAAGGCCUUACCACAUUACUCACACAGUUUUUCUCUCCAGUGUCUUCUAUGUAUUCUGAGAUAUAUUAUGUGCUCUUUUAUAUAUGCAAAGAAAACUGUGAUAUGCAAAGGUUUACCACAUUGUGUAUAUUCAUUCUCAUUCUCUCUCUCUCUCUCUCUCUCUCUCUCUCUCUCUCUCUCUCUCUCUCUCUCUCUCUCUCUCUCCUGUAUGAUGUGCUCCUUCCUGCAUUAGGAGAUAACUUUGCACAGCAUAGGUUUUACCACAUUGCUUAUACUCAGAAGGAUUCUGGCCCCUACAAAUAUGUUCAUGAUGAUUAAGAGUAUGAUCACAUUCACAGUCUUUCUCUUCAGUACGUUCACUUAUACAUUCAGAAAUGAUGGUGUUGUAAAAAGGUUGCUCACAUCCAUUUCCAUUUUGUAGCUUUUCCCUCCAGUAUGUAUUCUUUUAUUCUUUUGAAGAUGACCAUGAUUUGAAAAGACUUUCACACACUAAUUAAACUUGUAACGUUUCUCUCUAGUAUGUCCUUUAUGAAUUUGUAGAUUAUAAUGAUGGGAAAAGGCUUUUUGUUACAUUCAUUACAUUCAUAAGAUUUCACUCCAGUAUAAAUUAUUCUACGGAUUGGAGGUUACAAGGUUGGGAAAAGGCUUUGUCACACUGAUUCCAUUUGUAGGAUUUAUCUCCUGUAUAUCUUCUUCUAUGAAUUUUAAGAUAACUGUGUUGUGAAAGGCUUUGUCACUUUGAUUACAUUUGUAAGGCUUCUCUCCAGUAUGUGUUCUUUUAUGAUUUUGGAGGUAAGUGUUUUGAAAAGGUUUUAUCACAUUCAUUACAUUUGAAGGGUUUCUCUCUUAUAUGUGUACUUCUAUGAAUUUGGAGAUGAAUAAAUUGGGAAAAGGCUUUAUCACAUUCAUUACAUUUGUAGGGUUUCUCUACAGUAUGUGUUCUUCUAUGAAUGUGCAGAUUACUGUAUUGGGAAAAGGCUUUAUCACAUUGAUUACAUUAGUAGGGUUUUUCUCCAGGAUGUAUCCUUGUAUGUGUUUGGAGAUGACGAUUCUCAGAAAAGGCUUUAUCACAUUGAUUACAUUUGAACGGUUUCUCUCCUGUAUGUCUUCUUCUAUGAAUUUGAAGAUAACUGUGUUGUGAAAAGGCUGUCACAUUGAUUACAUUUGUACGGCUUCUCUCCAGUAUGUGUUCUUUUAUGAUUUUGGAAGCAAAAUUGUGUUGAAAACGGUUUAUCACAUUCAAUACAUUUGAAGGUUUUCUAUCCAGUAUGUAUUCUUCUAUGAAAAUAGAGAUGACCGUAUUGGGAAAAGGCUUUAUCACAUUGAUUACAUUUGUAGGGUUUUUCUCCAGUAUGUAUUCUUAUAUGUGUUUGGAGACUACGUUUCUGGGAGAAGGCUUUAUCACAUUGAUUACAUUUGUAGGGUUUUUCUCCAGUAUGCAUUCUUAUAUGUGUUUGGAGACUACGUUUCUGUGAAAAGGCUUUAUCACAUUCAUUACAUAUGAAGGGUUUCUCUCCAGUAUGAAUUCUUUCAUGCCUUUUAAGAUGACUGGGCGUUGCAAAUCCUUUACCACAUUGAUUACAUUCAUAGGGUUUCUGUCCAGUUUGUGUUCUUUUAUGUACUCGGAGACUUGUGUAAGGUAAAAAAUCUUUGACACAGUGAAUAACUACAGAGGGGAUCUUUUCUGUAUGAAUCCUUUCAUGCCUUUGGGCAUGACUGUGAUCAUGUAAAGCAAAGGCUUUACCACAUUGAGUAUAUUCAGAGGGUUUCUCUGCACUCUGACUCCUUUCACACCUGA